GGUGCAUGUGGUGAUCUGAA
rnacentral:snRNA from 1 species